CUCUUCUCUACAGAGCCACCAUGUGAUCCUGGGAAGAGGACACCAGUGGAAGGCGUCCUGGAUAAGAUAAGUCUUAUAAAAUAUAUAGAUUUUUAAUAAUUAAGACUGAGCUAGCAUAUAAGAAAUCCUAGUCAAUUGGCCAGCAGCAUUGUAAACUAAUAUAAAACUCUGUGCGUCAUUCUGGUCUCCCAUGUGGCAGCAGGGCUCAGUCAGAUGGAGUAAAGACUUAUCAUUACAGAAUGGUACUAUAAGAAAUCCUAGUUGCUAGGCGUUGGUGGCACAUGCCUUUAAUCCCAGCACUCGGGAGGCAGAGGCAGGCGGAUUUCUGUGAGUUCGAGGCCAGCCUGGUCUCCAGAGUGAGUGCCAGGGUAGGCUCCAAAGCUACACAGAGAAACCCUGUCUCAAAAACAAAAAACAGAAAACAAAAAAUAAACAACAACAACAAAGAAAUAGUAGUCAAUUGGCCAGCAGCAUUGAAAAUAAUAUAAGACUCUGUGUGUUACUUUUGGGCGGCCACAUGGCAGCGGGGCUCGGGCGGCUGGCAGAAAGGUUUAUCGUUCCUUUCCCCUCCCUCAUGGCCUCCCUCCCUUCAUUCCCCACUUCCCCACGUUCCCCUUGUCUCUGUCGUCUUGGGGUCUUUGUUCCUCCUGCCGUCCUCUCUGGCACACUCUUGCCAUAGUUGCUCAUCUUUGAGGUAUCGAUUUAGUUACCUCUUUCUCUAGGUUGAGGAAGUGGUCCCCUGUUGGCUUCUUCUGGUGCCCAAUACGAUGAUUGAUUGUCUUCUCUGGGGGUAGAGACCUUUACUUAAUACCUAUCAUACCUUGGAGUAGAAUACUCAAAAAUAAUCAUGGAUUGAAUGAAUAAGUAUCAAUUUCCCAGGGAUACGGAGCUAAAGGAUGAGGCCUCAGGUCUUUGUGGCAUGCGGCUGAUAAGUAGCAUUGCAGGAAAGUGACAGCUGGUGUCAAAGUCAUUAAAAGGUGAGAUUAGCACAGGAAAAAGACGUAUGCUGCAUGUUUCAGACAAGACAGAAAGACAGGGUCCAGCUUCUGUAAUAGAGGGGUCUGCUGUGAGCUACCUCAUCACACGGUGUAAAGCUGUGUCACUGUGAUUGGUUUAAUAAAAAGCUAAAUGACCAACAGCUAGGCAGGAGGUAUAGGCAGGACUUCUGGACAGAGAGAGCUCUAGGAAGAAGAAAGGGGAAGUUGCCAGCCAGAUGCAGAGGAAACAGGACACGCAGGAGGGAAGGUAAAAGCAGUGAGUCACGAUAGCAGCAUGUAGAUUAGUAGAAAUGGGUUAAUUUAAGCUAUAAGAGUUAGUUAGAAACAAGCCUACGCUAAAAUUUAGCUUUCAUAAUUAAGAAGUCUCCCCGUCCUUGUUUGGGAUCUGGCUGACAGGACAGAGAAAGACUUGAUGCAUAUGGCAUCCAAUGUGGAGGCUCAAUACCUAAAUAUAUGCCUGAGAAAGCUAAGAAAAGUUCUGGACAAGGAGCCGGAUGUGGAUUCCCAGUCCUGCAGUCUCUCGGUCAGGCUACUCAGCAGCAUACAGAGAUGUGGCUCCGGGCCGCUGCCUGUGGGCGAAGCCAGCCCCCGGCACCACGCAUGAGCUUCAUCAGCUAAGCUGAGCCACACAGAGGCUGACAUCUAAGAUUUGUCUCACACAGCCAGAAAGCACUACCGGUACUUAGUAAAGUCAUGUCCAGACAUAAAAAAACCUCUAAAAAGGUGCAAUGUGUUUUGUUUUUUUCAAAAAUGUGCUUAGAUGUUAAAGAAAUAAAAAAGAAAAUGAGUAUAUAUAGUCAUAAAAAUUAAAUAGUUUGAAAAUAAUAAGGUCUUGAAAGAGAGAACGUGUGUGUGUGUGUGUGUGUGUGUGUGUGUGUGUGUGACAUAAAGAUGGGAAAUACAGUGUCUAGAUGGUAUAUGGUGCUUUCGUGACUUUGAAGUUUUGAAUGCUAAUGAACAGAGAAUGGCAACUAUUGAGAGACACUGGCUUGUGGAAGGGACUGCUGAGUUAAACCAGCCUAUACAUUUUAGGGAUGUCUUGGCUUCAGAAUGGAAGUCAGGAAAUGCAUUGCAUUAGGGGAGAGGUUGUGCUUUUGUUUCCACAGGAAAUGGAAAGCUAUGGGUUCCUUCAAAGUUAAUCAGAAUUAGAUUAGCCUGAGAGAUUGCAUUAGAAAAUCUUGGCCACAAACAUGAAAAAGGAAGAAAAGAAAAGCUACAAGACAGGUGAUGUAUAAGCUGAUCCUUUGACAUGGGAACAUCUCUGAGACGGGAUGAGACAAAAUAAAUCUUGUUGGCUGCAGAGUCCUCUUGACUUAUUAUUACAAGGCAUCCUUUCAUUGGCAUGGGUAGAGAUUUAUAUUAUAGUCCAAACAAUUUACAAAGUUAAUAAAUGCCUUUUACCUGUGCUCAAACAUCUAACAAAAUAUAAUGUUUAACUGACUGUUGCACACUGCACAUUCACGCUGUGUUAUAUAUAUAUAUGUUAUAUAUAUAUAACAUAUAUAUAUAUAUAUGUUAUCUUUAAAAGUUUGGGUAUUUCCAGGGGUAAAAAAGGAUCAUGUACCAAUAAAGACAAGUAGCCCAGGUGAUCUAGCCUCUCAGAAUGCCUCUAUUGAAGUUUCCUCAGAAUUCUGUAUCCAGAACAAUCUCAAAGCUGCUAGCUGAGACAGUCCAUCCUCACGCACUACUCCAGCCAGAACUUUGGAUAUGCCCUGCACUUUCCUAUUGACAGAGACUGGAUAUAAAGGCUACUGCUAGCUUUCCUAGGACUUGGCCAUUAUCCUAGUUUCUCAGGGUCCCCUAGAGAUGCCAUCACCCCCAGACAAGAGAAAGCAGUCUAGAGAACAUGACAUCCACAGACCCAAGAGCUGGGGUGGGUGGUUUUGGUCAUUCAAUGGGUUAUAGAUGUUUGCAAGUAUUUAGGGGGGUUGGUUACAGUUGUUACUGGUCAUGGCCAGGAAAAAGCUGAACAAAGGAGAUUAGAUUUAGGGAUCUCUCUCUGAAGGGAAAGGCGGGAUAUAGUAUAGAAAUGAGGGGAUAAAGGGUGGUUUGCUGAGUCUACUUUCAAACAACCACUAGUCUCAAAUAUUUUACAUUGUUAUGGAUUUUUGUAAAUUGAUACAAAUUUAAGGUUAUUUUGCUACACUGUCUAUAUGUUUCUAAUAUUGUUUAAGGUAUUGUGUCUAUGCAGGUCAUUAAAAAGAUAAUGUAAAGUUUUAGUUCUUAAAAGCUAUUUAAGAUAAUAAAGAAAGACGGGUUAGUAGUUAGUCAUCUAUAACAAUCAAACUUAUCGUCAUGUUAGGUAUGCUUUAAACAUCAUACAGAAAUAUGUUUUAUAUAGAUAGGUGACUUUCAAACAUUUCAAAGACCUGGCAUUUAAAAUGUUUAAUAACAUAAGGCUUUUCAUGACAGUGAGACAUGCUGCAUCUGGCAGUACCAAUUUACUUCAAAAGAGGGUGAUGGGCAUUGAAGAACAUCCUUAUGGAGUUUUCUUUCUUUGUGGCAAAAGUUAGUCAUGUGAUCAAGAAAUUGCUUUUCCUCGACUGCUGGCAGUAUGUUAUCCAAACUGGACAAGCAAGACACAAAAGAAAGUGACUGCUGAACUUUGCCAAGACAAGGCAGGACAGUCCUUCAAAAAUUCCUGCUUCACAGAAAAUUCUGUCAGAUACUCUAGGCCUGUAGGCUGAAGAUGGGUGCCCAAUGUUACAGAGGAACCUUUGGUGAAUGUGCACAUAGCCAGAUGUCCCUGCUGUUUCCCACAGUUUCGGAAGUUGCUUGCUCUGCAUUUUCUGUUUACUCAGACCCUCUUUGGGAGCCAGGCACCACACUAAGUGUUCUGCACAGGCCUCAUCAGCUCGCUGUUCCAGACAGCUGCCAAGGCACAAGAAGGAACCGAGGUUCACACACCUCUGAGAACAGUUCCACUGUUUAAAGCAGGAAUCAAAUGCAAGGAGGACCCAAAGCAACCAGAGCACCCAAGUGGUGUUGCAAAAUGCUACAGCCACCAUGGAAAGUGACAGUUUCUUUUCUUGGGUGGGAUGGGCAGGGUUUGCAAUUUAGUUACAUUGUCUUUCCAUGUUUUUCCUCCAAACCCUCCCUUCAACCCCUCCCCACACCCCUGCAAAUCUACAGCUUCAAUUUUUAUUAAUUGUUAUUGCAUACAUACAUGUGUAUAUAAAUAGACCUAAAUGUAAUCUGUUGAGUCCAUUUAAUGGUUACUUGUGUGUAUGUUUUCAG
ensembl:lncRNA